rnacentral:rRNA from 1 species
CCUACGGGGGGCAGCAGUGGGGAAUAUUGGACAAUGGGCGAAAGCCUGAUCCAGCCAUGCCGCGUGUGUGAAGAAGGCCUUCGGGUUGUAAAGCACUUUCAGUGGGGAAGAAAGCCUUGGGGCUAAUACCCUCGAGGAAGGACAUCACCCACAGAAGAAGCACCGGCUAACUCCGUGCCAGCAGCCGCGGUAAUACGGAGGGUGCGAGCGUUAAUCGGAAUUACUGGGCGUAAAGCGCGCGUAGGCGGUCUGAUAAGCCGGUUGUGAAAGCCCCGGGCUCAACCUGGGAACGGCAUCCGGAACUGUCAGGCUAGAGUGCAGGAGAGGAAGGUAGAAUUCCCGGUGUAGCGGUGAAAUGCGUAGAGAUCGGGAGGAAUACCAGUGGCGAAGGCGGUCUUCUGGACUGACACUGACGCUGAGGUGCGAAAGCGUGGGUAGCAAACAGGAUUAGAUACCCUUGUAGUC